UGUCAAUGAUGAAUUUUAUAAUGACAAGCAUAUGACUGAAUUAUGCAUGUUGACAAUUUUUAUUCUGAGUCU
rnacentral:snoRNA from 1 species